rnacentral:rRNA from 1 species
AUACGGAGGAUCCGAGCGUUAUCCGGAUUUAUUGGGUUUAAAGGGUGCGCAGGCGGCCAUUUAAGUCAGCGGUUAAAUCGUGGGGCUCAACCCCAUUCUGCCGUUGAUACUGGGUGGCUUGAUUGCGGUCGAGGUUGGCGGAAUUCGUUGUGUAGCGGUGAAAUGCAUAGAUAUGACGAAGAACACCGAUUGCGUAGGCAGCUGACCAGACCGCAAAUGACGCUCAUGCACGAAAGUGCGGGGAUCGAACAGGAUUAGAUACCCUGGUAGUCCGCACAGUAAACGAUGAAUACUUGUUUUCGGCGAUAUAAUGUCGGAGGCAAAGCGAAAGCGAUAAGUAUUCCACCUGGGGAGUACGCCGGCAACGGUGAAACUCAAAGGAAUGGACGGGG